GGGUUGUGAGGUUAAGCGACUAAGCGUACACGGUGGAUGCCCGCAGUCAGAGGCGAUGAAGGGCGUGCUAAUCUGCGAUAAGCGCCGGUAAGGUGAUAUGAACCGUUAUAACCGGCGAUACCCGAAUGGGGAAACCCAGUGUGAUUCGUCACACUAUCAUUAACUGAAUCCAUAGGUUAAUGAGGCGAACCGGUAAGUACCCCGAGGAAAAGAAAUCAACCGAGAUUCCCCAGUAGCGGCGAGCGAACGGGGAGGAGCCCAGAGCCUGAAUCAGCAUGUGUGUUAGUGGAAGCGUCUGGAAAGGCGCGCGAUACAGGGUGACAGCCCCGUACACAAAAGCGCAUGUGCUGUGAGCUCGAUGAGUAGGGCGGGACACGUGGUAUCCUGUCUGAAUAUGGGGGGACCAUCCUCCAAGGCUAAAUACUCCUGACUGACCGAUAGUGAACCAGUACCGUGAGGGAAAGGCGAAAAGAACCCCGGCGAGGGGAGUGAAAAAGAACCUGAAACCGUGUACGUACAAGCAGUGGGAGCACAGGUUUACCUGUGUGACUGCGUACCUUUUGUAUAAUGGGUCAGCGACUUAUAUUCUGUAGCAAGGUUAACCGUAUAGGGGAGCCGCAGGGAAACCGAGUCUUAAUUGGGCGUUAAGUUGCAGGGUAUAGACCCGAAACCCGGUGAUCUAGCCAUGGGCAGGUUGAAGGUUGGGUAACACUAACUGGAGGACCGAACCGACUAAUGUUGAAAAAUUAGCGGAUGACCUGUGGCUGGGGUGAAAGGCCAAUCAACCGGGGGGUUAGCUGGUCCUCCCCGAAAGCUAUUUAGGUACCGCCUGGUAAAUUCUUCUCCGGGGUAGAGCACUGUUUCGGCUAGGGGGCCAUCCCGGCUUACCAACCCGAUGCAAACUGCGAAUACCGGAGAAUGUUAUCACGGGAGACACACGGCGGGUGCUAACGUCCGUCGUGAAGAGGGAAACAACCCAGACCGCCAGCUAAGGUCCCAAAGUCAUGGUUAAGUGGGAAACGAUGUGGGAAGGCCCAGACAGCCCAUUUAAAGAAAGCGUAAUAGCUCACUGGUCGAGUCGGCCUGCGCGGAAGAUGUAACGGGGCUAAACCAUGCACCGAAGCUGCGGCAGCGACACUGUGUGUUGUUGGGUAGGGGAGCGUUCUGUAAGCCUGCGAAGGUGGCCUGUGAGGGUUGCUGGAGGUAUCAGAAGUGCGAAUGCUGACAUAAGUAACGAUAAAGCGGGUGAAAAGCCCGCUCGCCGGAAGACCAAGGGUUCCUGUCCAACGUUAAUCGGGGCAGGGUGAGUCGACGCCGAAAGGCGUAGUCGAUGGGAAACGGGUUAAUAUUCCCGUACUUGGUGUUACUGCGAAGGGGGGACGGAGAAGGCUAUGUUGGCCGGGCGACGGUUGUCCCGGUUUAAGCGUGUAGGUGUGUGUUAAAGCCUCUAAGCAUCAGGUAACAUCAAAUCGUACCCCAAACCGACACAGGUGGUCAGGUAGAGAAUACCAAGGCGCUUGAGAGAACUCGGGUGAAGGAACUAGGCAAAAUGGUGCCGUAACUUCGGGAGAAGGCACGCUGACACGUAGGUGAAGUGAUUUACUCACGGAGCUGAAGUCAGUCGAAGAUACCAGCUGGCUGCAACUGUUUAUUAAAAACACAGCACUGUGCAAACACGAAAGUGGACGUAUACGGUGUGACGCCUGCCCGGUGCCGGAAGGUUAAUUGAUGGGGUCAGCGCAAGCGAAGCUCCUGAUCGAAGCCCCGGUAAACGGCGGCCGUAACUAUAACGGUCCUAAGGUAGCGAAAUUCCUUGUCGGGUAAGUUCCGACCUGCACGAAUGGCGUAAUGAUGGCCAGGCUGUCUCCACCCGAGACUCAGUGAAAUUGAACUCGCUGUGAAGAUGCAGUGUACCCGCGGCAAGACGGAAAGACCCCGUGAACCUUUACUAUAGCUUGACACUGAACAUUGAGCCUUGAUGUGUAGGAUAGGUGGGAGGCUUUGAAGUGUGGACGCCAGUCUGCAUGGAGCCGACCUUGAAAUACCACCCUUUAAUGUUUGAUGUUCUAACGUGGACCCGUAAUCCGGGUUGCGGACAGUGUCUGGUGGGUAGUUUGACUGGGGCGGUCUCCUCCUAAAGAGUAACGGAGGAGCACGAAGGUUGGCUAAUCCUGGUCGGACAUCAGGAGGUUAGUGCAAUGGCAUAAGCCAGCUUGACUGCGAGCGUGACGGCGCGAGCAGGUGCGAAAGCAGGUCAUAGUGAUCCGGUGGUUCUGAAUGGAAGGGCCAUCGCUCAACGGAUAAAAGGUACUCCGGGGAUAACAGGCUGAUACCGCCCAAGAGUUCAUAUCGACGGCGGUGUUUGGCACCUCGAUGUCGGCUCAUCACAUCCUGGGGCUGAAGUAGGUCCCAAGGGUAUGGCUGUUCGCCAUUUAAAGUGGUACGCGAGCUGGGUUUAGAACGUCGUGAGACAGUUCGGUCCCUAUCUGCCGUGGGCGCUGGAGAACUGAGGGGGGCUGCUCCUAGUACGAGAGGACCGGAGUGGACGCAUCACUGGUGUUCGGGUUGUCAUGCCAAUGGCACUGCCCGGUAGCUAAAUGCGGAAGAGAUAAGUGCUGAAAGCAUCUAAGCACGAAACUUGCCCCGAGAUGAGUUCUCCCUGAGACUUAGAGUCUCCUGAAGGAACGUUGAAGACGACGACGUUGAUAGGCCGGGUGUGUAAGCGCAGCGAUGCGUUGAGCUAACCGGUACUAAUGAACCGUGAGGCUUAACCUUACAACGCCGAAG
rnacentral:rRNA from 1 species